rnacentral:rRNA from 1 species
GAUGAACGCUGGCGGCGUGCCUAAUACAUGCAAGUCGAGCGAACGGACGAGAAGCUUGCUUCUCUGAUGUUAGCGGCGGACGGGUGAGUAACACGUGGAUAACCUACCUAUAAGACUGGGAUAACUUCGGGAAACCGUAGCUAAUACCAGAUAAUAUUUUGAACCGCAUGGUUCAAAAGUGAAAGACGGUCUUGCUGUCACUUAUAGAUGGAUCCGCGCUGCAUUAGCUAGUUGGUAAGGUAACGGCUUACCAAGGCAACGAUGCAUAGCCGACCUGAGAGGGUGAUCGGCCACACUGGAACUGAGACACGGUCCAGACUCCUACGGGAGGCAGCAGUAGGGAAUCUUCCGCAAUGGGCGAAAGCCUGACGGAGCAACGCCGCGUGAGUGAUGAAGGUCUUCGGAUCGUAAAACGCUGUUAUUAGGGAAGAACAUAUGUGUAAGUAACUGUGCACAUCUUGACGGUACCUAAGCAGAAAGCCACGGCUAACUACGU